GAUGAACGCUGGCGGCGUGCCUAAUACAUGCAAGUCGAGCGAACGGACGAGAAGCUUGCUUCUCUGAUGUUAGCGGCGGACGGGUGAGUAACACGUGGAUAACCUACCUAUAAGACUGGGAUAACUUCGGGAAACCGGAGCUAAUACCGGAUGAUAUUUUGAACCGCAUGGUUCAAAAGUGAAAGACGGUCUUGCUGUCACUUAUAGAUGGAUCCGCGCUGCAUUAGCUAGUUGGUAAGGUAACGGCUUACCAAGGCAACGAUGCAUAGCCGACCUGAGAGGGUGAUCGGCCACACUGGAACUGAGACACGGUCCAGACUCCUAGGGGAGGCAGCAGUAGGGAAUCUUCCGAAAUGGGCGGAAGCCUGACGGAGCAACGCCGCGUGAGUGAUGAAGGUCUUCGGAUCGUAAAACUCUGUUAUUAGUGAAGAACAUAUGUGUAAGUAACUGUGCACAUCUUGACGGUACCUAAUCAGAAAGCCACGGCUAACUACGUG
rnacentral:rRNA from 1 species